UACGGGGGGUGCAAACGUUGCUCGGAAUUAUUGGGCGUAAAGCGCACGUAGGCGGUCCUGUAAGUCGGGUGUGAAAGCCCGGGGCUUAACCCCGGAAGUGCACUCGAAACUGUAGGGCUUGAGUAUGGAAGAGGGUCUCGGAAUUCCCGGUGUAGAGGUGAAAUUCGUAGAUAUUAGGAAGAACACCAGUGGCGAAGGCGGCUCACUGGCCCGGUACUGACGCUGAGGCGCGAAAGCGUGGGGAUCAAACAGG
rnacentral:rRNA from 1 species